CUUCCCCCCGCCCCUUCCAGGCUCCCGGGAUAACCAGCUCUUUCUAUUGCUGUCGGGCUCCGAGUCCGCCGGAACUGAGUUGCAGCGCUGCAAGUUCCUUCCCGGAAGAGGCAGCCGAGGCUCCUGAGCACCGGCAACAUGGCACGGCCGGGAAAUAAGGCAGCUGUUGUGCUGUGUGCGGAUGUGGGCUUUGCCAUGAGUAACUCUUUUCUUGAUGAAGAAUCAUCAUUAGAACAAGCAAAGAAAGUGAUGACCAUGUUUGUCCAGCGACAGGUGUUUGCUGAGAGCAAGGAUGAGGUUGCGUUAGUCCUGUUUGGUACGGAUGGCACUGACAAUGCCCUUGCUCAGGAAAAUCAGUAUCAGAACAUCACAGUGCACAGACACCUGAUGCUACCAGAUUUUGAUUUGCUGGAGGACAUCGAAAGCAAAAUCCAACCAGGUUCUAAACAUGCCGACAUCCUGGAUGCACUUGUCGUGUGCAUGGAUUUGAUUCAACAGGAAACUGUAGGAAAGAAGUUUGAGAAGAGGCAUAUUGAAGUGUUCACUGACCUCAGCAGCCCAUUCAGCAAAGAUCAGUUGGAUGUUAUAAUUCAUAACUUGAAGCAAUCUGGCAUCUCCCUGCAAUUCUUUUUGCCUUUCUCAGUUGGGGGGGAAGAUGGAACUGGGGACAGAGGAGAUGGCAGCUUGCGCUUGGGCCACCAUGGACCCUCCUUUCCCCAAAAGGGAAUUACUGAGCAGCAAAAAGAAGGUAUUCAGGUGGUGAAGAGGAUGAUGAUGUCUUUAGAAGGUGACAGUGGACUGGAUGAAAUUUAUUCCUUCAGUGAGAGCCUGAGACAACUGUGUGUCUUUAAGAAAAUUGAGAGGCGCUCCAUGCCCUGGCAUUGUCAACUGACCGUUGGCUCCAAUUUGGCCAUAAAGAUUGUGGCCUAUAAAUCGAUUCAACAGGAGACAAUUAAAAAGACUUGGGCAGUUGUGGAUGCAAGAACCCUGAAAAAAGAAGAUAUUCAAAAGGAAACAGUUUAUUGCUUAAAUGACGAUGAUGAAACUGAGGUUCCAAAAGAGGACACUAUUCAAGGGUUCCGCUAUGGAAGUGAUAUAGUUCCUUUCUCUAAAGUGGAUGAGGAACAAAUGAAAUACAGAUCAGAGGGAAAGUGCUUCUCUGUUUUGGGAUUUUGCAGAUCUCCUCAGGUCCAGAGAAGGUUCUUUAUGGGAAAUCAAGUUCUAAAGGUCUUUGCAGAAAAAGAUGAUGAGGCAGCAGCAGUUGCGCUGUCCUCCCUGAUUCACGCUUUGGAUGAAUUAGACAUGGUGGCCGUAGUUCGAUACGCCUAUGACAAAAAAGCUAAUCCUCAAGUUGGUGUGGCUUUUCCACAUAUCAAGGAUGCCUAUGAGUGUUUAGUGUACGUGCAGCUGCCUUUCAUGGAAGACUUGCGGCAAUACAUGUUUUCAUCCUUGAAAAAUAAUAAGAAAUACACUCCCACAGAGGCCCAGCUGAAUGCUGUUGAUGCUUUGAUUGACUCCAUGAGUUUGGUAAAGAAAGAUGAGGAAGAAGACACCAUUGAAGACUUGUUUCCAACCACCAAAAUCCCAAAUCCCCAAUUUCAGAGAUUUUUUCAGUGUUUGCUGCAUAGAGCUCUACAUCCCCAGGAGCCUCUGCCCCCAAUUCAGCAGCAUAUUUUGAAUAUGCUGGAUCCCCCCACUGAGGUGACAGCUAAAAGUCAGAUUCCUCUUUCUGAAAUAAAGACACUCUUCCCUCUGACUGAAGCCAUCAAGAAAAGGGAUCAAAUAACUGCUCAGGACAUUUUCCAAGAUAACCAAGAAGAAGGAUCUGUCUCUAAAAAAUGCAAGACGGAGGAAGCAGACAUCCCCUUUAGUAUCACCAGCAUGGCUGAGGGCAGGGUCACCAGUGUUGGAAGUGUGAAUCCUGCUGAAAACUUCCGUGUUCUAGUGAGACAGAAGAAUGCCAGCUUUGGGGAAGUGAGUCACCAGUUAAUAAGUCAUAUUGAACAGUUUUUGGAUAGUAACGAGACACCGUAUUUUAUGAAGAGCAUGGACUGUAUCAAAGCCUUCCGGGAAGAAGCCAUUCAGUUUUCAGAAGAGCAGCGCUUUAACAGUUUCCUGAAAGCUCUUCAGGAGAAAGUGAAAAUGAAACGGUUACAUCACUUCUGGGAAAUUGUCGUUCAGGAUGGAAUUACUCUGAUCAGCAAAGAUGAAGCCUCUGGAAGCUCUGUCACAGCUGAGGAAGCCAAAAAGAAUGAAAACUUGAUGCUUUGUAUUAAAAAUGUUUUUAAUGGCAUUUGCUGAUUUUCUGAAGAAAAGUAUAGAGAAGAAAGUGUACAUACAGAUGAUAAUGAGGAGAGUGGUAGAGAUUUUGGCUCAAGGAAGCUGAUUUCUGUGGUUUUAAUAGGAGAGACAUGCUUCAGCUACUUCUGUUAGCGAAGUUAGGGAAGUGUAGUCACUCUUGACCAUGCACUGAAGUAUUCAUUUACGUUGCCUUUAAAGCAAGUGUUAAGUUUGGUCACUUCCCAAAUAAUCAAUUAAGGAAACCGGACUAUAAUCAGAGAGAUUGAAGGGCAGUCCUCACAGUCCGUUUAAAUUCUUCCCUGGUAUUUACCGUUAAGUUAUUUAAAGUUAGGAAGCUGUCACAUUCUUGCUGUUAAAUUGACAAUUUGAGGGAAAUGAUCAUCCAGGGAUGUUUAAGUGAAAAUUAAAUUAUAAUUUUACAUUUGCGCAACAGACGUUUCCCUCCAGUCUGUUCUACAAAUGUAGAUUUAACGAUCCUUUUGAGAACUAUAGGUAAGUCAGCCCUGCUGCAGAAAGAGAAAGAACUUCUAUGACAUAAGCUUAGAUAGUCACUUUAAGUUUACCUCUCAUUUCACUUUAAAGCCUAAGCAUAAUUAUCCCCUUUUUAUGCUUAUUUUUAUUGUUAUUAUAACCUUUCAGUUAAUUCUUUCACUUUUUCUAUUUCUAGCUGAUAUUAUUAAAUAUGCUGUUAGCAUUUGCUGUUAGGUAAAGUCUUUGUAUAGUCCUUGUGUGUCCCUCAUCUAUUAGUGGGUAAGAGGCAUGGCUGCUUAUCCUGGUGCUUCACGGGAGCAUCUGGGACCUGCUUGGUUCCAGUCCGGAGUCGGUAAGAGGCCUGCACUUGUGAUAGGUCAGGACAGGAGGAAUGAUUCUUCACUUUGAAUUUUAUCUUUCUUAAUCAAAAAGGAUUUUUUUUUAGCUUCUUUCUGCUAAUCUAUGUUGGGGUUAGACCAGUGAUUGUCAACCAGCAGUGAUUUUGCUCCCCAAAAGACAUUUGGCAAUGUUUGCCCACAUCUGUGGUGGUUACAAAUGGGGGCACACUACUGGCUCCUAGUAGAUAGAGGCCAGGGAUGUUGCUAAACAUUCUACAGUGCACAGGACAGCUCCCACAACAAGGAACUAACUGGCCCAAAAGGCUAAUAAUGUCACUGUUGAGAAUCCUGGGUUAGGAGAAUUUUAACAAACCAAACCCUUACCUAAGGCAGAGAACAUUGGCUUAAAUUGUAUAGCUUUUUAUACAGAUGGAAAUAAUAAUUUCCUAGCCCAGUUUUUAUUUUUAAAUUAUGAAAGGUUACAAGGAAGCUCGAUAUAUUAAAAAAAGCAGAUGAAGAUGGUGCUCCUCCCUUGAUGGGCAACAGGAGCAGCAGAUUGGGGUUGUUACUCAUGCCCAAGGGACUCCAAAGAACCCUCAGGACAUCAAGGAACAGAACUUGAAAAAUACUGGUCUAGGCCCAAUACCUUAUUUUAUAGAUGAGGAAAUUUAGGGCUCUGAGAAAUAAAAUCACGUGUCAGAGAUCUCGUUGCUGCCUAGAAUUCAGCCCUCUUUUUACUCCAUAUUGAGAACACAGGGGAAAGAGGAUCUAGCCUCAUGGUUUUGGAGAAUUGUUUUUCCCGGACUUAGCUGUCCAAAUAAUCAUUUGAUAAGAGCUCUAUAGGGAAAAAAAUCAUCUUUGUAGUACUCGUUUUCCUUAUGACUGGCCUAAUCGUGCCAUCUGUGUUCUUAUUGACAUUUACUGAUUUCUAACCUUAGCAUGAUGGACUCCCAGAGCUUAGCGAUCUGGCCAUUUUACAGACACGAUUCAGAGGUGAAAUUGAUGAGACUAGUGUCUCACAGAGAGUUAACAGCUAGCAGAAUUGACUAGAAUCCAGACCCCUAGACUCUUAACUACAGGUGUCUUUACAUCACACCACGGCACCACCUUUUCAUAUGCCACCAGCCACAUCUAUGUGAAGAAAAGAUGUUCAUGCCCCCUCUUUGAAGAACACAGUUGUGUGUGUGUGCCAGCUCUCCGGAACCCUAUGAAAGAUGUUUCUGGCCCUCAAAGAAAAACCAGCUGAAGACACAGCCAUAUAUGAAGAAGGUGGUGAUGUGGAUGACUUACUGGACAUGAUAUAGGUCUCGGCUGUGUGAGGAAUCUAAGGGAGUCGAACUGCAUCGUCAUGGCUGCGGUGCUAGGAGUUCUUACAGAACAGCCUGGAGGAGGCCAUUCAAGGGCAACUGGAGCUCUGGGGACCAGAUGACACAGAAGUGAACAGCACCUAAUUCUCUGUAGAAUGAAUGUGUGCACAAAUAUUAUGAGGGUUAAUUUAGACGUUACACAAGUUUAUAAAGAGUCACUCUUAUUUUCUGAUGGGUGCAUUAUUUCUUUAGUGGUCUUACUGAUCUCAGUAUAUUACUCACAUGCUUCAAAGUUUCUGAAAAAUGACUUCUUUUAUCCUGACUUGGUGUAUUGGUGAGGAUUAUAGCCCUCACAGAGUUAUUAGCAUCUCAUCCUGAACCAUGGCACAGUCAUUAGUGAGUUUUCCCAAUCCUUUCCAGGAGCACGACAGUCACAGAUACAGUACUUUGAUCCUCCAACAGCAUUCCCAAUUUGGGCUGAUCAAGCAAUGGCAUUUGUUUCCUACCAAGGAAAAACUGGAUUAGGGAAGUCAUAGGCAAGGGCCAACCCAUUUCCCCCUUAAGCCUUUUAGUUACCACAUUCAGAGUACAAGCCUUGCGGGGAUGCAGUGUAGGUAGGGAAAGAACGCUGGGCUAGCCCAGAUCCUUACGAGUGAGUUUUGAUGUUGUUCCCUCACUUGGCCCAGCUUCUGUCAUUAGUGAACCUUAAAAGAAAGAAAAGCUGAGAAAUUCACCAAUACUUAGAAAUGUAUCAUGUAUACUUGCAGGUCUCACAAGAAGUUUGGUUGUCUUAAAACACUUCUUCCUUAAUUUUUCAGUCUUCCUGUCUCUCUGGAUGAUGUUUUGGUUUUUUUCCCCUGAAAUAAGAAAAUAAUCCUUAGUCUUCUUUUUCCUGGUCCCAUUCCUUCCCUAAGUUUUAACACCUCGUUCCUUGAUGUCACAAACUUCUUGUACCCAAUCUCACAUGUCCUCAACAGCCCCCAUGUAGGUAACCAAUACAUUUAAUUUUACAGACAUAUUGAUAAAGUUAUGAAUGACUCACACUCCUCCUGUGGAUUGCUGUUAAUUACUAAUGCUCUGCAACGAAGUUCUUCACUGCUGUGCUGAGGAUUAAAGGCCCCCUGUGCAUUGAUUGAAAAUGGAUCUCCAAGAGAGAACAUCAUUCAGUCCACCGAGCGGUUCAUAGUCCAUUGAGUGGUUCACUGUGGACCUCUAGGACAGUGCUCAUUGUUCAGUCUUGACAUACAUACAGGUGCCCAUUAAAAGUGAUCCCAAUAAAGAAUGCCAUGUAUUACUGUCCAGUUAGAUAAAGUCUAGUGAUUUGGUCAAAACAAAGACAUUUCUUAGAAUCAUAAAGCAAGAAAACUUUGUUCUUUAAGUUCUACAUUAUCCUCAUCAGAUACUCCUGACAAUAAGAAUUGGCUCAAUAAGUAUGACCUUAUAAGCAGUUUGGGGAAUUCCCUCUUGGAAACAGCAAUCCUUCUGUCAAGCCAGGAAAGGUUUGAAUCAAGUUAGUCCUUUAGAUCUUCUGAUUGUUUUUUAUUUAGGUCGUAUGUUGCAGGAUUAUUUGUGCUUCCCUAACUCCACUUUUACGUAAAUUACCUGAGCACCUGAAGGAAGAAAUGAGUUUGACAAGCUGGGGAAAGGACUAAAUUAGCCAUGCAAUUUCCAAAUCCACUAUGUAGACCCAGUAUAUGUGCGGUGUAGACUUGGUCAUAGCAUACUGUUUUGAGUAGGUCAUCAUGUUUUGGAUGAACACACCAAAGUCUCAUUUUGCUGAAAUGAGAUUUUCAGAUCAGUAGAAACCCCAGUUGUUCUGUUGACUGCCUUGCAGAGCAGCAAGCACUAAGUCAGCUUUAGAUGGCCCCAGGCUAGUCCUCAGAAGCCCAUAUGUCCUACAAAUAAAAGGCUGUAUGUAAAUUGGAAGUCACUGACAAUGUCCCUGUUUUUAGUCUUCUUAUUGCACUAAAAUCUGUUGACUUAGUGAGAAGGGAGACACUUACCCUCCAGUCACAUCCCAAAGGCCCCCAUGCACUGCCAAAUGCCCAGUCAAGGGUGUGUGCCACACUGCAGUUAAAAAUCAUUAAAUGUUGAACCUCUACCCUUUGUUAAUUAAUUCACAUGAAAUUUAGAAUCUUGGAAAAUUAUUUGGGGAUAAAUGUUACCUAGUUCAGAAUGGUUUUGAAAAAUGGGCCCGAUAAAUGCUUCUAUUUUGAAUGUAUACAGUACUAACGACUGGCUUUUUAGCUAAUUAUGAUUCAGGAAACAUGUAUUCUGUUUGGUCCACUGUCUCCCAUUGGCCUCAUCUCAUAUUGUUACCUUCUUCUACAUGAGGUAUUCUAGGUUCAGAACAUGAGCUGGUGGCCCAUCCAGAGUAGAUGAUGUGAAGGAGCGCAGUGUGGGUGGGGAAAGAACUACUGUACCUUCUGCGUUGCCAACCACCCGUGCAUGUUAACUCUCUGCUGGAGCUAAAUACACAAGGUGCAAACAACAAAAUGGAAAUCAGCAUACUAAGUAUUAGCUUGUUGCAAAGAUGUGUGGAACAGCUAUUGUGUACCACAUGGCUUAGGUUUGUAGUCUUCUCCUACCUCCGGAUCUUACCACCUAGCCUCAGAUGAAGAGAGCAAGAGCAUCUGGUUGGACCCAGCUUUCUUGCCUGAUUAGCAGCAUGGAGCAGAAGGUGGAAAUGCAUAUAAAGUUUAACAUACAUAUAACCUAUUGGGGUUUUAAUGACCCUAAUAAAUAUGGCCCAAUCACCAGUCACAUCUGUAUGCCUGCCUCCCUGUAGCGGGCAGGGGACUAUUAGGAGGGAGUGAGGAGUGGGAGCUUCCUCCAACCACCACCCUCACACCCACAUGGAGUCAGUUCGCUUAAUCAGUAGAAUUGAUAAUCUCUGCUUGGAUAGCAUUGGCUUUCUGUGGUCAUUUUUGAAAGGAAGGAAAAUACUCCUUUUCUCUAUCUGAAUGUAACUCAGGAAGAGACUUCCUCCUAUCUCUACCAUCUCUUCUUUAGAGACACAAUGGUGUAGUGCUUCAGAGCAUCACCUGGAUGUUAGAUAUUCUUAGGUGUAAGUUCCAAUAGCAGCACUUAGCAGCUGUGUGGCCACAGAAAGCCUCUAAGCAACAGAAUAUGACAAUCACUUGUGUUUCAACUGUGGGCAGGGUGUCCUGGGAGAAGAUGAGACCUUCUCUGUCAAAGGGAGUUCACAGAUGGCUUUGCAGGAGCUGCUUGAAUGAUGGGAAUGUGUGUUGUCUGGAGCAGCCCCAGACACGUGCCCCAUUCACGGCCUCAUGUGUUACCUUUCCCGGGCCCACUGCCUUUGCCUAGAGCAUUGUGGGGUGGGUAAGGGUACCGACUGGGGUCAGGCAGACUUGAAUGGAGGCCUUUUCUAUACUGUCUUAAAUGCGUCUCUGAAUUUCUCUAGGCCCACAGACCUUUUCAGUGAGCUUCAUAGGGUUAUGGUUAGAAUUAAUAAACAUAAUAUUAAUGGCGUAUAUUAUGUUGGCAAAACAACAUGGGAAAUAAAACUUUGUAGCAGCAUCCCUUUUGAGAACAGAUUUGGUUUGUUGGGAAAAUACUUGAAUGAA